rnacentral:lncRNA from 1 species
GAGUGGACCACUUAAUAUACCAAACACCGUUUUAAAAAUAUUGUUUAUAUUUUGGGCACUUGCAAGGAAAAAGGGGUGUGGAAUUAGGUAUGCUAGCCACAUUUAAGCACUGAAAAGAUCAAUGAAAUGUGUAAACCUAUACAUGGCCUAGUGGCACACUCGGGUCCAAUGCCCUUUUCUUUUUUUUUAUUGCAAGCCCUAUGCAAACAUAAAUCCA